rfam:Picea glauca, whole genome shotgun sequence.
AGGGUGCUAGCUCAAUGGAAGAGCACCUGCCUUACAAGCAGGAGGUUGAUGGUUCGAUUCCUCCAUGCCCUA